UGGGGUGUCGCCAAGCGGUAAGGCAACGGACUUUGACUCCGUCAUUGCGCUGGUUCGAAUCCAGCCAUCCCAG
rnacentral:tRNA from 1 species